CGCGGUAUGGGGGAGUUCGGUUGUCCCCGUCGGUUUCAUACGUCGAAGAUCGCGGGUUCAAAUCCCGCUACCGCAA
rnacentral:tRNA from 1 species